rnacentral:rRNA from 1 species
GACGAACGCUGGCGGCGUGCUUAAUACAUGCAAGUCGAACGGACAGACCAUGCUCUUGUGGCGUGCUCGUGUGCCGAACGGGUGUGUAUCACGCGUGUAACCUGUCCUUGUCUUUCGGAUAUCUUCACGAAACUCGGGCUAUUACCCCAUAGGAGCUCUUGCUGCACGUUGGGGGUUGGAGAGUUUCGGCGGUUGGGGAUGGACUCGCUGCUUAUCCGCUUGUUGGUGGGGUAGUGGCUGACAAAGCCUUCGACGGCUAGCCGGCCUGAGAGGGGGGCCGGGCACAUGGGGACUGAGGGACGGCCCAGACGCCAACGUGAGGCAACAGUGGAGAGUAUGGCGCAAUGGGGGGAAGCCAGAGACGGCGACGCCGCGUGCGGGAUGACGUCCUACGAGGUGUAAACCGCUGUCGCCGGUGACAAGGCGGGAUUGACGGUAAUGGAUAAAGAAGCACCGGCUAACUACGUG